GAUGAACGCUGGCGGCGUGCCUAAUACAUGCAAGUCGAGCGAACAGACGAGGAGCUUGCUCCUCUGACGUUAGCGGCGGACGGGUGAGUAACACGUGGAUAACCUACCUAUAAGACUGGGAUAACUUCGGGAAACCGGAGCUAAUACCGGAUAAUAUAUUGAACCGCAUGGUUCAAUAGUGAAAGACGGUUUUGCUGUCACUUAUAGAUGGAUCCGCGCCGCAUUAGCUAGUUGGUAAGGUAACGGCUUACCAAGGCAACGAUGCGUAGCCGACCUGAGAGGAGGAGGAGGCACACGGGGACUGAGACACGGCACAGACGCCGGCGGGAGGGAGCAGUGGGGAAUAGUGGACAAGGGGAGCAAGACUGAUCCAGCCAUACCGCGGGGGUGAAGAAGGUCUUCGGUUGGUAAAGCCCUUUUGUGGGGAAAAAAAAGAAGCACGAGAACACCCCGCUUUUCUGACGGGACCAAAAGAAAAAGCACCGGCUAACCUCGUG
rnacentral:rRNA from 1 species